rnacentral:rRNA from 1 species
CCUUGACAUCCAGAGAACUUAGCAGAGAUGCUUUGGUGCCUUCGGGAACUCUGAGACAGGUGCUGCAUGGCUGUCGUCAGCUCGUGUUGUGAAAUGUUGGGUUAAGUCCGCAACGAGCGCAACCCUUAUCCUUUGUUGCCAGCGGUUCGGCCGGGAACUCAAAGGAGACUGCCGGUGAUAAACCGGAGGAAGGUGGGGAUGACGUCAAGUCAUCAUGGCCCUUACGGCCAGGGCUACACACGUGCUACAAUGGCGCAUACAAAGAGAAGCGACCUCGCGAGAGCAAGCGGACCUCAUAAAGUGCGUCGUAGUCCGGAUUGGAGUCUGCAACUCGACUCCAUGAAGUCGGAAUCGCUAGUAAUCGUAGAUCAGAAUGCUACGGUGAAUACGUUCCCGGGCCUUGUACACACCGCCCGUCACACCAUGGGAGUGGGUUGCAAAAGAAGUAGGUAGCUUAACCUUCGGGAGGGCGCUUACCACUUUGUGAUUCAUGACUGGGGUGAAGUCGUAACAAGGUAGGCGUAGACGU